rnacentral:rRNA from 1 species
AGUGAACGCUGGCGGUAGGCCUAACACAUGCAAGUCGAACGGCAGCACAGUAAGAGCUUGCUCUUACGGGUGGCGAGUGGCGGACGGGUGAGGAAUACAUCGGAAUCUACUUUUUCGUGGGGGAUAACGUAGGGAAACUUACGCUAAUACCGCAUACGACCUACGGGUGAAAGCAGGGGAUCUUCGGACCUUGCGCGAUUGAAUGAGCCGAUGUCGGAUUAGCUAGUUGGCGGGGUAAAGGCCCACCAAGGCGACGAUCCGCAGCUGGUCUGAGAGGAUGAUCAGCCACACUGGAACUGAGACACGGUCCAGACUCCUACGGGAGGCAGCAGUGGGGAAUAUUGGACAAUGGGCGCAAGCCUGAUCCAGCCAUACCGCGUGGGUGAAGAAGGCCUUCGGGUUGUAAAGCCCUUUUGUUGGGAAAGAAAAGCAGCAGGUUAAUACCCCACUGUUCUGACGGUACCCAAAGAAUAAGCACCGGCUAGCUUCGUG